rnacentral:rRNA from 1 species
GACGGAGGGUGCAAACGUUGCUCGGAAUUACUGGGCGUAAAGCGCGUGUAGGCGGACCGGAAAGUCGGGCGUGAAAUCCCUAGGCUCAACCUAGGAACUGCACUCGAAACUUCCGGCCUUGAGUGGUGGAGAGGGAAGUGGAAUUCCUGGUGUAGAGGUGAAAUUCGUAGAUAUCAGGAGGAACACCAGUGGCGAAGGCGGCUUCCUGGACACCAACUGACGCUGAGACGCGAAAGCGUGGGGAGCAAACAGG